rnacentral:rRNA from 1 species
GACUGAGGGCCACUAAGCGUUAUUAUGCUUAAAAUAAGAUUAGUUUGAUGUAAAAAAGAUAAUGGUAAAUAUGAAUUGACAUAGAGUUAAGUAUUAUUAAGAUAUUUAGGUUCAAGUAAGCUUUAUAGGUUAAGAAGAUAUAGAGAAUAAGAAUAGGUAGGAUCUAAUACUUUUUGCAUCAUGGCUUAUAGAGCGAUAUAAGCUAGGUUUAUGCCCGAAAGUGCCGGAUCUAUGUUAAUUAAGUAAAUUUGUUUCUAAUGUUGCAAAAUUAGGCUAGAAGAUUAAUAUAGUGUGAAAUACUAUUCGAAGGCGCUGGUAGCUGGUUGGGGACUAAAUGUAUCACAGUACAGGGAAAGUUUAAAAUAAAAAUUUAGCUUUUACUUAUAUGUUAGGGGGUUAGCUCUAGCAUUUUGUGGGUAUUUUCUGAGUUUUAAAGUAGGAUUUAUAUUGUCCAUUUUUAAAAUAUUUAUUCAAAGAAUUUGCGAGAAAAUAAGCUUUGUUAGGUAGUGCCCUAUAGGAUAUAAUUUUUAUUUUUAAAUUAGUAUAAGAUUAGUAGAUAUUGUGAGAGUAGGGUAAAUAUAGAAACACGAAGAUUAAUUUCGUGCACUAGAAUAAAGAAAGAGGGAUUAAUCUUCGUGUGCUAGAUUUAUGUUUUGAUAAAUGAGACGCUUGAUUUAGGUUUCUUUAAUGAACUCGGCAAAUUUUUUCUGCACCUGUUUAUUAAAAACAUGGCUUUCUGAAAUAUAUUAAUAGGAGGUCUGGCCUGCCCGGUGGAGAAAGUCUCAACGGUCGCAGCUCCAACUGUGCGAAGGUAGCGUAAUAGGUCGUCCCUUAAUUAGGGGAAAGUAUGAAUGGUCGGAUGUUGGAAAGGCUUUAUUAAGGAGAUAGGUUGAAUUUUACUUUCUAGUGCAAAGGCUAGAAUUUCGUUAUUAGACGAGAAGACCCUGUUGAGCUUGGUAAGGCUAGUCCUUUUAGGAUUAGAGCUAUGUUUGUUCGGGGCUGAAGGGAAGGGAGAUAAUGCCUUCUAUGUUGUAUAAAAGAUCCAAUUUGAUUGAUUGGUGGAAGAUAGUUACCACAGGGAUAACAGCGCAAUCAUUCUGAUAAGGCCAUAUUUAAGGAGUGGUUUGCGACCUCGAUGUUGAAUCAAAAUUUCUACUAGGUGUAGCAGCUUAGUAAGUGGGACUGUUCGUCCUUUAAAAUUUUACGUGAUUUGAGUUUAGACCGGCGUGAGCUAGGUCGGUUUCUAUCUAUAAGUUCAGAAGCUUUAGUACGAAAGGAUCGGGCUUCUUGGCGUAGUGCUAAAUAAUUAAGAAAAUUCUUAAUGAGGUAUUUAGAACAGGUUGUAACUAAGAAAAUCAGUUUC